UAUUCAUCUUCACACCUCUCUCUCUCUCUCUUCAACUCAGAAGAACAUCGACUCUGAACAAAACAGGAGAACAUCAAAGCGAUCUCUGAUCCGGCCUGCUCAUGCUGCUCUCCAUCUCCGAUUAGGCCUCCACUCAUCUACGGUCUCAAUUUGUCCCCAUUUUCAUGUCGAUUAGGGUUUUAGCGUUUCACAAUCGCCUUCGAAUUCAACAAUCAGAUCGCAAAUCAUCAACAAGUUCUUCAAGAAAAAUAGUGCAUUGGGAGAAGAUUUGGAUUGGGAACGGAAUGUAAAGCCGCCACCUGUAAUCACGGAGGUGGUUUCUUAGUCCAUUGAAGAACUAAUCAUGAAACGUAUAUCUGAGGGGCACUUUGAUGAUGUUCAAAAAGUUAAUAAGUUGCCUUCUAAAACACCAAGGGAAAUGAAGGAAUUGCUUGAAUGUUAACUUUGCUGGAUGAAAAUUAGACUAAGAAGGGCCUUGGCGAAUUAUAUGUGGAUGAGUAUGCUCAAAAGACUGGACUGGUUUCACAAGCAUUGUCUUUCUCCGAUGAGCAAAAGAAGGAGUCGGUAGCUUCAAUUAAUCAACCAGCUUGGAAGGAGCUUUUAACCUAUGAAUCCUAUAAAAGAGAAGACAUGGUUACAAUUCAGGCUGGAGAAAAGGCUGCAAGCUGUAUUUCGGAUGUGUCUUAAAUCAAUGACUUGAGUUUUGUGAAAGAACUGAACAACAGCUCUUAUUGUUUUUUAGUAUAAACAAAUAUGAAAAGAACUGUCAUUGAUGGCUGAAUUCAGAUCUGUUUCCAAUCGACGGAGUGACGCCACGAUGACAGAAAUGGUGUUUUUCAAGAUUUUUGACCCUUACCAGCAACCGUUAUGUUGUUUAUCGUCUUCGAUAAUGGUUCAGUGUGUGUGUGUGUAUAAGUGUGUGUUGCAGAAGAUAAGGGAGUGAGUUUGAUUGGUGAUUUGAGUUUGGGUUAUUGGAGGUUUGACCACUGGAUUGAGGAAGCCUAUUCAGAAGUAGAAUCAAAGGAGAUCUAGAGGGCCAGUUUCACAUUUGAAGGGCAACAGUCUGGUAAGUAUUAAAAUCCCAAAUUGAUGUAGAUUUUGAUGAAUUUAAUCACUAUUUUUAGUUCUUAAUGUAACAGUAGGGAGAUAGUAUUGCACUUAUAUAAAGUUAUGGUUUUUGUGUUGAUCGUUUGUUUUACACUUUGGCUAACUCAUCUAUUUGUUUACAAGCAUAUAUCAAAGCUACAUGGUGACUUAUUUUG
rnacentral:lncRNA from 1 species